GAUGAACGUUGGCGGUGUUGCCUAAUAACAUGCAAGUCGAACGGAGUUAAUAGCAAUAUUGACUUAGUGGCGAACGGGUGAGUAACGCGUUGGUGAUCUGCCUUGAAGUGUGGAAUAACGCUCCGAAAGGAGCGCUAAUACCGCAUGUGCUCUCAAUUUUUAGAAAGUUGAGAGGAAAGGAUUUAUUCGCUUCGAGAGGAGCCUGCGUCCCAUCAGCUGGUUGGUAGGGUAAAGGCCUACCAAGGCAAUGACGGGUAGGGGACCUGAGAGGGUGGCCCCCCACAAUGGAACUGAAACACGGUCCAUACACCUACGGGUGGCAGCAGUAGGGAAUAUUAGAAAUGGACGAAAGUCUGAUCUAGCAACACCGCGUGUGCGAAGAAGGCCUUCGGGUCGUAAAGCACUUUUUGGAAGGAAUAGGAAGGAAUGUACUUCCAGAAUAAGUCUCGGCUAACUACGUG
rnacentral:rRNA from 1 species